AAAGCACAUUUCAGACUUCAUUCUUUCAGUUUUAGUUAAAUCUUCUUGUCCCCACAGCCUUACGUGUCUCAGUAUAUCAUCCCUGGUACUCGUGUUAUUUGGGGAGGCUGUGGAACCUUUAGGUAACAGAACAUCGCUGGAGGAAGUAGGUCACAGUGGCUGGACCUCGGAAUGUCAUGAGCUGGCCCCACUUCUCUCUCAUUUCCAUCCUUUGAAUGCUGACACAACGUAACAGAUCACGCUGAUGCUUCUGAAUGAGUUAGCUGAUGUGUAGCCUCAGCAAAGGUAACCUCUCAUCGGAGAUUAUGUGAAAUAUAUGUCAAAAAUGAAACCUUACAUUAAAAUUGUCCUUGAGUCAUACAUAGAGGAGGGUCUCCUUGAAGUUACAUUAUAUGUCUAAGCAAAAUGAAUUUACCUGGAAGAUGAGUGUAAGCAGUAAACUCCACUCUGAGAUCACUUGGUUUGUAGCAGAGGAGCAUGGACUUAAGGGUUUCAUUUAGGCUGACUGAGCAUAAAAGUCUACUUCAAAACUGCCCAUCCACAAAACCUGGAAAGAUAUGCAGAAGGAGCUAUUUUUAUUAUGUGUUCAAAAUCAUGGAAAACCCACUGAAGUGAGAUUUCUAAUGCCCCUUAGGGUGAGGAUCCUUAAUUUAAAUGGGUUAUCAAGCAUUUUUAUUAUUUAAAAUGAAUUACAAAGUGAAGGCUGGUGAGAUACUGCACCUCCACAGCGACUGGCUCAUGAAGCUACUACUUGUCAUCCUAUGGCAACAAUGAGACUGUGUCAGCAACCAUUGAGUUUACUGUCAUUUUCACCCCAGUGUUUUUUCUGUGAUCUCUACCAUAAGAAGAACAUUGAUAAGCCUGUACUCCCAAGCAAUUCGUCUUUCUUUUAGAUGAAGUCUUUUCUUAUAAUAUUUUUUCUUUCUAGCAUACUAUCUUCUAAUAAAAUACCUCAAAGAAA